rnacentral:misc_RNA from 1 species
AAGUCGUAACAAGGUUUCCGUAGGUGAACCUGCGGAAGGAUCAUUACCACACCUAAAAAUCUUUCCACGUGAAUUGUUUUGUACACUGUUGGGUUUCGCUGGCGCGUGUUUUCUUGUCGAAUGUAGUGUUUGACGGCGCGCGGCGGCUGGAGGCCAUCAGGGCGUCUGUUGUUGUGAUGGACGCUCUUUUUGUAAACCCCCUUUUUUUUAUUUUGUGAAACUGAUUGUACUGUGGGGACGAAAGUCUCUGCUUUGAACUAGAUAGCAACUUUCAGCAGUGGAUGUCUAGGCUC